rnacentral:rRNA from 1 species
AUUGAACGCUGGCGGCAUGCCUUACACAUGCAAGUCGAACGGCAGCACGGGUGCUUGCCCCUGGUGGCGAGUGGCGAACGGGUGAGUAAUACGUCGGAACAUGUCCUGUAGUGGGGGAUAGCCCGGCGAAAGCCGGAUUAAUACCGCAUACGAUCUACGGAUGAAAGCGGGGGACCUUCGGGCCUCGCGCUAUAGGGUUGGCCGAUGGCUGAUUAGCUAGUUGGUGGGGUAAAGGCCUACCAAGGCGACGAUCAGUAGCUGGUCUGAGAGGACGACCAGCCACACUGGGACUGAGACACGGCCCAGACUCCUACGGGAGGCAGCAGUGGGGAAUUUUGGACAAUGGGCGAAAGCCUGAUCCAGCAAUGCCGCGUGUGUGAAGAAGGCCUUCGGGUUGUAAAGCACUUUUGUCCGGAAAGAAAUCCUUGGCCCUAAUACGGUCGGGGGAUGACGGUACCGGAAGAAUAAGCACCGGCUAACUACGUG